CACCUCAGAUCAUCAGGGAUUAGAUCCCAGAGGUUGGGAACCCCUGUCCUAGAGAACCUGUCUGCAAAGCCUAAAAUAUUUGCCAGCUGGCCCUUUACAGAGAAAGUUUGUGGAUACCUGCUUGGAUGCACAGUGCUUGGUUUGGAGCGUGGCGACAGACGGGCUGAGCUGAGAACUGGAGCUGUCGGAAGGACGGGCACACUCUCCCAGUUCAACAAUCUGCCUGCAGGAAUCUGAAAGAGACUCAGGAUAUCUUAACUCUUCGAGGAAGCGGGCUUCUUAACUUGGAGUCCCUGUGGGGGUCACAGGUGAGGUAUCUGAAAUUGGACACAGAAUUUCUCGAGGUCAGCUGAGCGGACCCAGCAGGAGGUGGAGCCUGCCGUGACUGCAGGCUCAGAGGAUGCUGUACCCUCCAGGGAGUGACGGGAGGAGGAAUGUUUUCAGGGGGUGAUUCCUAGCGGAGUCUAGAAUCGUCCAAGUUUAAGAGUUCUCCCGGCCCAUUCCAUCCACUUUCUAGGUGGGAUAACUGAGGCCCAAAGUUGUUGGCGG
rnacentral:lncRNA from 1 species